AUAAUGCAUCUUUUAAAACAUUGCCUGGAGAUGAUCAGAGAACAUUGGAACCUAGUUGUUUUACCCUGGGCAAUUGUCGAUGCUGCUGUAAGCUAGAUAAGGGAAACAGCUCAGAGGAGACUCGUAGGUCGUAGCAAAACUUCAGUUGCCAUGUAAGGACAAGAAGAUGAACAAUUGAAACAAUGGGAAAGAGGAAACAUGUGCUUCGAUGUUGAGAAUGAAGCAAUUAAUGUGGUGGCCGGAUGUAAUCAUGAUUUGCUGGAGAGCGAUGCAGGUGGUAAUAGUUUUUAAGGCCUGUGUGUGAAAGAAGAUUAUAACAAACAAUGGGGUGAGGCUUUGGAAUGCUGAUGAGGGUGAU